CAAAAACGUAUGUAAGGAGCUUCGAGUUAGCUUCACUGAGCUAGACCAUGCCAUAUUGGGCUGGGCUUAUUUGCAGAUUUAUGCAGAGUGCCAGGGCACUCCUGGCACCAUAACAACUACAGUGGGCUAUGGUAUUUGGAGAGUUCCUUUGAGUGUAGUCUACACACACACACACACAUUACCUUCGAGAAGAGCAUGCAUCCGCAACAAUGUGGACAUCAAAACCCUUAUCCAAAAGGUCCAGUGUGGUACUCUGAAAAGAGAGACAAGUUCUAUGAC